UUAAUAGAAACCAAAAAGAGGUAUAUCACUGUUAAUGAUAUUAAUGAAUAUUAAUAAAUUCCUAUUAAA
rnacentral:tRNA from 1 species